GACGAACGCUGGCGGCGUGCCUAACACAUGCAAGUCGAACGGGGUGAUUUCCUUCGGGAGAUCACUUAGUGGCGAACGGGUGAGUAACGCGUGAGAAACCUGCCUUUCAGUGGGGGACAACAGUUGGAAACGACUGCUAAUACCGCAUAACAUCCUUAGGGGGCAUCCUCUUAGGAUCAAAGCUUUAUGUGCUGAAAGAUGGUCUCGCGUCUGAUUAGCUAGUUGGCGGGGUAACGGCCCACCAAGGCGACGAUCAGUAGCCGGUCUGAGAGGAUGAACGGCCACAUUGGGACUGAGAUACGGCCCAGACUCCGACGGGAGGCAGCAGUGGGGAAUAUUGGGCAAUGGGCGAAAGCCUGACCCAGCAACGCCGCGUGAAGGAAGAAGGCCUUCGGGUUGUAAACUUCUUUUAGCAGGGACGAAGGACGUGACGGUACCUGCAGAAAAAGCAACGGCUAACUACGUGCCAGCAGCCGCCGCGGUAA
rnacentral:rRNA from 1 species